rnacentral:sRNA from 1 species
GUUUUGCGUGAGGGAUUAAAGUGGAGCUCUUUUUUCUUCAUCAAUUACUUCGGGUUUAAACCGAAGUAAUUGAUGAAGAAAAAAAGCGGGAACGUAAAGCCCGACCCGUA